AGCUAUGUUACAUUGAAUGGCAAAAGUGACUUUGUAGAGCAGACAGUUGGCUUAGCAACUCUGAGUGGUGGGCUCAACAGAAGAACAAGCUGAUAGAAGUCCUUGGGCUCUGAGGCUCCAUUCUAAUCAAAGCACUUCUCCAACCAGAGGACUUCCAUUGAUCAAUAGUCACUCAGAUGUUCUGUGUUUGCCAUGAGUAUCGGACUUCAGUCUUCUGGAAAGAUGGCUGUGGUGCCUAAACACAUCUGUGCCUGGCCUCACCCGCGGGUGUCAUUUAUCUGGAUGCUGCAUGAUUAAGACCACCAUACUCUUAUCAAGCAUACAGGUGUUAAUGUCUAUUUUAAAGAGGAGAGAACUCAAGAAGUUCUGUAGAAACUGCUUUCUUCAUCAUGUCUCAAAGGAUUUGCUGAGGAUUUCAGAGCUGCCACGAGUUGAGAGAAGUGAGCCAAAAAAACUCAUCUGAAGUGUUUGGACAGAUGAAAUCAAUGGCUGCUGAUUAAAUGAGAGGCACACAGCAAGUACACUCCUGUGAUAUGGAUUUUCAAGAAUAUGAGCAAGAAGACAGAACAAAAUGAGCCAAGAUCAAGAUAUAUGUUUCAGAGACCCGGGGAGAAAGGAUGAAAAUUACAAUCUCAAGAAACAACAUAAACAUAACGAGUUAAUGGGUGCAGCACACCAGCAUGGCACAUGUAUACAUAUGUAACUAACCUGUACAUUGUGCACAUGUACCCUA